rnacentral:rRNA from 1 species
UACGAAGGGGCUAGCGUUGCUCGGAAUCACUGGGCGUAAAGCGCACGUAGGCGGCUUUUAAGUCAGGGUGAAAUCCUGGAGCUUAACUCCAGAACUGCCCUUGAUACUGGGAGCUAGAGUCCGGAAGAGGUGAGUGGAACUGCGAGUGUAGAGGUGAAAUUCGUAGAUAUUCGCAAGAACACCAGUGGCGAAGGCGGCGCUCUGGGCCGGUACUGACGCUGAGGAGCGAAAGCGUGGGGAGCAAACAGG